rnacentral:rRNA from 11 species
UAAAAGAGUUUGAUCCUGGCUCAGGGUGAACGCGAAUCAGCGCACUUAACACAUGCAAGUUUUAUGGAUAGCUUUGAGCCUAGCUUUUAGUUAGACAUAGCGAACGGGUGCGUAAUGCUUAAGAAUCUACUUUUAACUAAGGGAUAAUGGAAGGAAACUUUUGCUAAUUCCUUAUAGGUAUGGAUAAGAUAACCUAUCUUCAUCUUGUUUAGAAAAAAUUUGGCUGCUCAACGUAGUUAAGUUGGUUAAAAAAGAGCUUGAAUCUGAUUAGUUAGUAGGUGAGGUAAAGGCUUACCUAGACGAUAAUCGGUAGCGGAUCUGAGAGGAUGACCCGCCACAUUGGGACUGAGACACGGCCCAAACUUCUACGGAAGGCAGCAGUGAGGAAUAUUCUGCAAUGGGCGAAAGCCUGACAGUGUGACGCUGAGUGAAGGAUGAAGGCCACAACCCGAGUUCGGGGGUCGUAAACUUCUUUUCCUAGGCGAAGAAUAAUGACUAACCUAGCAAGAAAGUAUCGGCUAACUCCGUGCCAGCAGCCGCGGUAAGACGGGGGAUGCGAGCGUUAUCCGGAAUGACUGGGCGUAAAGCGUUUGUAGGUGAUCUUCUAAGUCUUGGUUUAAAUCAUAAAGCUUAACUUUUAAAAGAGCCAAGAUACUGGUUGAAUAGAGUGAAAUUGAGGUAUUUGGGGGAAUUCUUAGAGGAAUAGUAAAAUGUAACGAUACUAAGAUGAAGACCGAAGGCGAAGGCGUCAUACUAAAUUUUAACUGACACUCAAGGACGAAAGCUAGGGGAGCAAAUGGGAUUAGAGACCCCAGUAGUCUUAGCAGUAAACGAUGAGUACUAGAUGUUGGACGCACGGUAAUAUAUAAUCUAUUUAUCUACUCGUUCGGUAUCUAAGCUAACGCAAUAAGUACUCCGCCUGAGGAGUACGCUCGCAAGGGUGAAACUCAAAGGAAUUGACGGGGGCUCGUACAAGCGGCGGAGCAUGUGGUUUAAUUUGAUCAAAGCAAAAAAUCUUACCAGAGCUUGAAGUUGAAAUUUUCAAAUUUAAUCGAUUUGAAAAGCCAUAAAUUGGCAAAAACGAGGUGGUGCAUGGCUGUCGUCAGCUCGUGUCGUGAGACGUUGGGUUAAUUCCCUUAACGAGCGCAACCCUUGUCAUAAGUUCUUUUGUCUUAUGAGAAGGCUCGAUUCGUCGAGAUUAAGAGGAGGAUGACGUCAAGUCAUCAUGCCCUUUAUGCUCUGGGCUACACACGUGCUACAAUGGUCGUUACAAUAAGUACUGAAGAAAAAAACGUAUAACGAUUAUACGUUUAAUUUUAACGUAAGUAUGAAAAUAUUUACAAAUCUUUAAAAGCGUAGCCCUAAUAUGAAUCGUGGACUGAAACUCGUCCACGUCAAACCGGAGUCGCUAGUAAUCGCCGGUCACCAUUACGGCGGUGAAUACGUAACCGAGCCUUGUACACACCGCCCGUCACACCCUGGGAAUUUAGGCUUUUUGAAACAUCUGCAGUGGGUGCGAUUAAGGAUUGGGUAACUGGGGUGAAGUCGUAACAAGGUAGCGGUACUG